GAUGAACGCUGGCGGCGUGCUUAACACAUGCAAGUCGAACGAGAAAUGUAGACGGAAACCUUCGGGCGGAAGCCUUCAUUUCGAGUGGCGGACGGGUGAGUAACGCGUGGGUAACCUGCCUCAUACAGGGGGAUAACGGUUGGAAACGACUGUUAAUACCGCAUAAGACCACAGCAUCGCAUGAUGCGGGGGUAAAAACUCCGGUGGUAUGAGAUGGACCCGCGUUCGAUUAGCCAGUUGGCGGGGUAACGGCCCACCAAAGCGACGAUCGAUAGCCGAUCUGAGAGGAUGACCGGCCACAUUGGGACUGAGACACGGCCCAAACUCCUACGGGAGGCAGCAGUGGGGAAUAUUGCACAAUGGGGGAAACCCUGAUGCAGCGACGCCGCGUGAGUGAAGAAGUACUUCGGUAUGUAAAGCUCUAUCAGCAGGGAAGAAAAUGACGGUACCUGAGUAAGAAGCCCCGGCUAACUACGUG
rnacentral:rRNA from 1 species